GCCGGUGUGAUGGAAUUGGUAGACGUGACGGACUCAAAAUCCGUUGGUGGUGACAUCGUGUGGGUUCGACUCCCACCAUCGGCACCA
rnacentral:tRNA from 1 species